rnacentral:lncRNA from 1 species
GAAAAUGAAAUUAAAAUACAUUGUAAAAUGAAAAGUAUUUUAAAAGGAAAAUAUUUUUAACUGAAUAUAUACUUUAUUUAACAAUUAUAACAAUCAAACAAAUUUAGUAAAUUACAAAACUAAACCAUUACACCAAUUAAAUAAAUUGAUAAAUUAGUUAAACAAAAAGAAAAACUAGCACUUUGCUUAAUCAGUUCUUCCAUCACCGUUCUUCCUGGCUUUCCUCGGUUCUUCCAUCACCGUUGUCUACCAUUGUUGUACGCAUAUAUACAUGAAUCGUCUUAUUUUCAUGUCCACGAAUCUUAAUAUUCACAUAAAUCUAGCUAUACACACACACAUACAAAAUUAAUAAAAUAAAUGAACACCAGAAGAGAGAAAAUGACUGAUUCACUACUCAUUCUAUACCAGAACAGUGGCUUCUGUUGAAGAAGUAGAGAGAGAGAGAUUUGCGGUAGGAUCCGCUGUCGAUCAUCAACUUCAACGUCAACACCAUGUCUUUCGGUGAGAUUUGUGAUCGAUUAGAUCUGUAAUCACUCUUGUGAGACUCAGAUCUAGACAAGUAACAAUUCUUGGAGAGAACCCUAGAUCGGUUUUGCUUAGCAAUUGCCACUAAGGCCUUCGGAUAACAACUUCCUUCCGACUCUCAAUUUGAUCAAUUGUCUGUGUAUUUUUGUUUUUUCCUUCAUCAAUUGUCUGUGAGAAAUAGGAGAGAUGAAAUGGUAGUCGGGAAGGGGAAAGGUCAGAGAGAAGAAAGAAAAAAGUGGGAAAGAUGAGUCAACAUUUAGGUGUCUUUUUUUAAGCUAGGUAAAAAAUUAUGUGUUUUGUUGUGUUUUUUCAAAAAGCCACGUAGGAAAACUUGAUUAAUUUCUUAACGUCUGUGACAAAAAUUGGACAGAAUGGUCUUAUUUUUAAUUUUUAAAAAAUACAAUAAACUAAUUAAAUAUUUUAAAAGUACAGUGACUAAUUACUUAAAUCAUUACAACUAUAAUAGUAAAAAAGUGUUUUUUGCCAAUUACAAAGAGACGCACAAUCUUUUUGCCUAGAAAUGAAUCCUCCCUAAACAUACAAAUAGUAAUUAAAUGCAUUAAACAUAACGCUACUAACUAACUUAAUUAAUUUAAACAUACAAAUAAAUGCAAUCAACUAAAUUAUUGCUUCAUUUAAUUAUCA